rnacentral:lncRNA from 1 species
AGUCCUUCGAAAGUGUCGCCAGGGCAGGCGACUUGAUUUGUUGUAUUUGGGUCUCCGGUGAAGAGCUGACGCCCCCUCAAAAUUGGAAACGCAUCUUCUGAAAGAUCCUCCUGAAAUUUCUCGAUGUUUAACUGUUAACAUUUUGCUGUUGUUGUCCACAGAAGGAUAACAACAGCCUUUCAAGAUCCUCCAAUAGCCUAAUGCCAUUGUCCUCUCUGCCUCAAAAGGAAAACACUAAAAAUGUUGGGAACUUCCGCCACUUUCUAUAUUUGCCUUUUCCUUUCUAGGAAUUGUGUAUAGAUUUUUAGCUUCCUUUCGUUGUAUAUUGUUUUUACAUUGUUAUUCCAAAUCACCUAAUAGACACUGAUCAAUCAGGAAUUUAAAUAAAAUCUUCACAAAAGUACAGCCAAAAAAAUAUUUUUUGUUUUGUGGGAUCCCGCCUUUGGCUGAGUAUAAACAUCUGAAAAAUCAAUUGUACGGAUACCUGGAGUCUGGACGUAAAUAUUGAUUUCUCCCCUUAGGAGAAGGAGUUGAACAAACAGAAGGGCGGUUUCCUCUCCCUCAAAGCAAAAUCAAAACAAAACAGGGCUUUCACAGUUGAACUUGAACCCCUAAGCCACAGAGAGCUGGUGGAGACCAACUUUUAGAAUUGAGUCUCUUUGGGGACUCAUGGGGUUGCCAGAGGCCUCUUGCCAAAAAGGCACAUGUGAGAAACUUGCCUGAACCCCACACAGGGCUGGGCAGUCUUGGCGGUUCCCCCAGGAAUAAGCUGGAUUUCUCUGGGAUUUUGCAAACUGACUUUGGCAGGCAGUGCUAACCUCUCAGCAGGAUUUUAGGGAAACCUAGGAGACCAGGCAGAAAAGGGACAAAUUGAACUCUCAGAAGGACAAAAAAAAAGAUUAAUCAGGGAAAAUAAUUUUUUAAUUAUUUUUAUUAUAAUUUUUUAAAUAAUUAUUUAUUAUUUAUUUAUCAUUAUUUCCAGCUGUCACUCAGGCUGGACUGCAGUGGCGUGAUCACAGCUCUCUGCAGCGUCAACCCUGGGCUCAAGGAAUCCUCCC